GACGAACGCUGGCGGCGUGCCUAAUACAUGCAAGUCGAACGCAGUGGGGACGGGUGAGUAACACGUGGGUAACCUCCCAUCAGAGGGGAUAACACUUGGAAACAGGUGCUAAACCGAUACUGAUGGAUGGACCCGCGGUGCAUUAGCUAGUGGGGGAGGUAACGGCUUACCAAGGCCACGAUGCAUAGCCGGCCUGAGAGGAUGACCAGCAACACUGGGACGGAGACACGGCCCAGACUCAUACGGGAGGCAGCAGUGGGGAAUCUUCGACAAUGGGCGAAAGUCUGACCGAGCAACGCCGCGUGAAUGAAGAAGGUUUUCGGGUCGUAAAGCUCUGUUGUUAGAGAAGCGGUAUCUAACCAGAAAGCCACGGCUAACUACGUGCCAGCAGCCGCGGUAAUUC
rnacentral:rRNA from 1 species